AUCCUGCCAACUGAAUGCACACACACGCUUACGCACCAACAACUGAAUGCACUUGAGCAAGUGAAUGCCGAUUUUCCGGCAUUCACUUGACAUUCUUUUUUUUCCGGUCUAAAAUGAUGUUUUUUAUCAUAUAUGUGAAAAUUGUGACAUGUUUCAGUUGGCAGGAUUUUCGUGUAAUGUGUGUUCCAGUUGUGUGAAAAUUUUUGCAUCGCGCGGUUUUUCAACACACACACGUCAACCAAUGCGCAUGUUCGUUUUCAACCGGAAGCACAUACAGGAGGAAGGUGACUUUUCAGGCACAGAGGCGAGGUGUAAAAACAAUCAAUAAAAGGCGGCAUGGCGACCUCCUUCUCCCUUACCAUGAAUCUAUGAUUUCAAAAGAAAAAUGGGACAGAAGGGAAUAGCAAAGAAGCUCUGGAUUUAGUCGGGGUUUUUUUUGACUGAAGGAAACAGUUCUGUGUGGAUGCAACCGAAGAAAAUGAAUUAUUGGGAGACUGGUAAACCUGGUGAUGUAUGGCAAACAUUCCAAGCAAAACAUGAAAUGUGUUGAUGGCCACCUAUGUCACUUUUCAACAAGGCUAAAUAUGGAGGGCAAGGCUACAGCGCAAGUCCUUUGUCAGAAGGUCAUGGACAAUUCAGGAAAAGGCUGCAGUACAACAGCAACUAGGGAAACAUCUUUUGCUGAAAAUGUUACCAGGGAAGGCUAAUUGUUAAGAGGUCCUCCGAAAAGAACCAGUGUUGCAUGGCAGAACCUGGAAACAAACUAAGGACCUCAUCUGGAACUGUAAUAUAAGAAGACAGUCAAGGAGAAUUUGCUUGUAUCAGAUCAGGCUGUUAGUGAGACUAUAUGAUAUUGCUGCCUAUUGAUUGUGUGUAUCCAAUAUGGUUGUCAGUUGACUGUAUAUCAGAUGUGACUAUCAGUUGACUGUGUGUAUCAGAUAUGGCUGUCAGUUGAGAAUGUGUAUCAGAUAUGGCUGUCAGUUGAUAGUGUGUAUCGGAUAUGGCUGUCAGUUUACAGUGUAUAUAAGAUGUGGGUGUCAGUACAGUGUGUAUCAGAUAUGGCUGUCAGUUGAUAGUGUGUAUUGGAUAUGGCUGUCAGUUGACAAUGCGUAUCAGAUAUGGCUUUCAGUUGACUAUCAGAUGUGGCUGUCAGUUGACUGUGUGUAUCGAUUAUGGCUGUCAGUUGAUAAUGUGUAUCAUAUAUGGCUGUCGGUUGAUAGUGUGUAUCAUAUAUGGCUGUCGGUUGAUAGUGUGUAUCGGAUAUGGCUGUCAGUUGACAAUGCGUAUCGGAUAUGGCUGUCAGUUGAUAGUGUGUAUCGGAUAUGGCUGUCAGUUGAUAGUGUGUAUCGGAUAUGGCUGUCAGUUGACAAUGCGUAUCAGAUAUGGCUUUCAGUUGACGGUGUGUAUCAGAUAUAGCUGUCAGUAAGGUGUGUAUAAGAUAUGGCUGUCAUGAUCAGUUGACAAUGUGUAUCAGAUAUGGCUUUCAGUAAAGUGUAUAUCAAGUAUGGCUGUCAAUAAAUUUUGUAUCAGAUAUGGCUGUCAGUUGACUAUAUAAUGUAUUGUUGUCAGUUGAAUAUUUCAGAUAUGGCUGUCAGUUGACAAUGUGUAUUGCAUAUGGCUGUCAGUUUACGAUGUGUAACAGAUACUGUGUCAGUAUAAGAUGUGGGUGUCAGUUAACAGUGUAUUAGAUAUGGCUGUCAGUUGAUAGUGUGUAUCAGAUAUGGCUGUCAGUACAGUGUGUAUACGAUAUGGCUGUCAGUUGACUAUAUCACAUGUGGCUGUAAGUUGACAGUAUAAGAUAUGGAUGUCAGUUGACUAUAUUAGAUGUGGUUGUCAGUUGACAGUGUAU